GACGAACCGUGCGAUCGUUGUUCGGAAUCACUGGGCGUAAAGGGCGCGUAGGCGGAUCUUUAAGUCGGGGGUGAAAGCCCAGGGCUCAACCCUGGAAUUGCCUUCGAUACUGAAGAUCUCGAGACCGGAAGAGGUUAGUGGAACUGCGAGUGUAGAGGUGAAAUUCGUAGAUAUUCGCAAGAACACCAGUGGCGAAGGCGGCUAACUGGUCCGGUUCUGACGCUGAGGCGCGAAAGCGUGGGGAGCAAACAGG
rnacentral:rRNA from 1 species